CCCUUAGAUGUUCUGGGCCGCACGCGCGCUACACUGAUCGGUGCAACAAGCAUCCGUCCUUGGCCGACAGGCCCGGGCAAUCUUUGAACGCCGGUCGUGAUGGGGAUAGACCUUUGCAAUUUUUGGUCUUCAACGAGGAAUUCCUAGUAAACACAAGUCAUCAACUUGCAUUGAUUACGUCCCUGCCCUUUGUACACACCGCCCGUCGCACCUACCGAUUGAAUGGUCCGGUGAAACCUCCGGAUUGGCGCGUGCCCUCGGGCGCCGCCGAGAAGUUGGUUAAACCUUACCAUUUAGAGGAAGGUGAAGUCGUAACA
rnacentral:rRNA from 1 species